GACGAACGCUGGCGGCGUGCUUAACACAUGCAAGUCGAACGGUGAAGGGACCGGUUUUUGCUGGUUCUGGAUGAGUGGCGAACGGGUGAGUAACACGUGAGUAACCUGCCCCCUUCUUCUGGAUAACCGCAUGAAAGUGUGGCUAAUACGGGAUAUUCUGCGCCUGCUGCAUGGUGGGUGUGGGAAAGAUAUUGUUUCGGUGGGGGAUGGGCUCGCGGCCUAUCAGCUUGUUGGUGGGGUGAUGGCCUACCAAGGCGGUGACGGGUAGCCGGCCUGAGAGGGUGGACGGUCACACUGGGACUGAGACACGGCCCAGACUCCUACGGGAGGCAGCAGUGGGGAAUAUUGCACAAUGGGCGCAAGCCUGAUGCAGCGACGCCGCGUGAGGGAUGGAGGCCUUCGGGUUGUAAACCUCUUUCGCCAGUGAAGCAGGCCUGUCCCUUUUGUGGGUGGGUUGACGGUAGCUGGAUAAGAAGCGCCGGCUAACUACGUGC
rnacentral:rRNA from 1 species